GGCUGCGCUCGCCUUUUCCGGUGGAAGUGACGCCAUCUGCAGCUGCGGCAGGAGAGCGGAAAUGUCAAAAGUGGAGAGCCUAAAGAUAGUAGUGAGCAGCUUGAGUCUUAAGUGUUUGAAUACAACAAUGGAAGGUGACAAGGAUUCUUUGCUUGGCCAAACUUUAGUCAGACUCCUCAACUUUCUCGUAGGUUUUUCUGUGUAUUUCCUUGGAAAAUCCAGUUAGAACCCUCCACGCUCAAUAUCUGAUCAGGUUCCUCAUCCUCUACCAUCCUUAGGUGAUGUCUGAUCACCUUCACCUAUUUUCAGCAAGAAACCCCUUUACUCCUGAAGUUCCUUCUUAGUAAUAUUGUAUCCAGUGACCCCAAACUUUUGUUCCUUGGCUAUAAAUUCCCACUUGCCCAUGCUGUAUUUAAAGUUGAGCCCACUCUCUUUCUCCUAAUUCGGCAUCCCAUUGCCAUGGUUGCUAUACGUAUCCUGAUGGUCCUGAAUAAAAUCUGUCUUACUAUGCUUUAAUAAAUUUCUAUCAUUCA